UCUUUCUUAGCUUAAAUUUAAAGCGUUAGUUUGAAGAGCUAAAGAUACUAGUUUGUAGGGGGAG
rnacentral:tRNA from 1 species